AGUGAACGCUGGCGGCGUGCUUAACACAUGCAAGUCGAACGAGAACGGGCUAUAGCUUGCUAUAGUUGUCAGCUAAGUGGCGCACGGGUGAGUAAUGUAUAGGUAAUAUGCCUCUUACUAAGGGAUAACAAAUGGAAACGUUUGCUAAUACCUUAUACUCCUUAUUAACAGAAGUUAAUAAGGGAAAGAUUUAUUGGUAAGAGAUUAGCCUGUAUUGUAUCAGUUAGUUGGUGGGGUAAUGGCUUACCAAGACUAUGACACAUAACUGGUUUGGGAGGAUGGUCAGUCACACUGGAACUGAGACACGGUCCAGACUCCUACGGGAGGCAGCAGUGGGGAAUAUUGCACAAUGGACGAAAGUCUGAUGCAGCAACGCCGCGUGGAGGAUGACACAUUUCGGUGCGUAAACUCCUUUUAUAUGAGAAGAUGAUGACGGUAUUAUAUGAAUAAGCACCGGCUAACUCCGUGCCAGCCGCCGCAGUAA
rnacentral:rRNA from 1 species